UGCUCAAGCUACUAAGAGCAUACGGAGGAUGCCUUGGCAGCUAUAGGCGAUGAAGGGCGUGGUAAGCUGCGAAAAGCGUCGGUGAGGUGCACACAACCUUUGACCCGGCGAUACCCGAAUGGGGAAACCCGUAGUCCAUAAUUGGGCUACAUCAUCCGAUGAAUUCAUAGUCGGAUGAGGCGAACCCGGGGAAGUGAAACAUCUCAGUACCCGGAGGAAAAGAAAGAAAUUUCGAUUUCCUGAGUAGCGGCGAGCGAAAGGGAAAGAGCCUAAACCGACUCAGGCGUU
rnacentral:rRNA from 1 species